rnacentral:lncRNA from 1 species
CAUUCGGUAUCAGCUUCUGUCCCUGGUUCUCAGCCUCUGUCCCUGGUUCUUCCCAUCUCUCAGGCCAAGGUGAGGGCUUCCCACCUGCCUCCCGGGUGGGUAGUUUGAGAAACUGCCUCCUGGUGGACCUUCUCCUAGCAGGUCCUGACAGGCGGAGUGGGGGAUGCUGACUGGAGGGGUAUGCCUUCCAAGCUGCAGCGGGGGUCCCUUGUCGCUCUGCCCAGGAUCUUGAGGUGACAGGCAGAGAUCAGUGGCUCCCGGGGGGCACCAGAUGCACCGAUGGCAGAGGGGCAGGGUUGGGGCUGGUGGUGGUGGGAGCAGGCAGGCGCUGGGGCAGGGAGGGGAGCUGGCUGGCAGAGGGUGGAGGGGUGUGGCAAAAUAGCCGGAGAGAAGGAAGCGAGAGACUGGGCUGGGGUCCCCCGCAGGUGCAUAAUGAGUGCUGAGGCGGGGGCUGUGUGGGGCUUCAGGAUAGGCGGUGCUCCAGGCGUACAGACACCACCUGGUGGCCAGAUUGGGACACAGACCUCCUACUCGGCAACCACGGAUUCUGUUUCCCCGCAGUUGCCCAUCCAGGGCCCUUUUGAAGGCAGGGGAGGAUCUCAGAGUUGGCUUGGAGGAUGAGGUUGGAGAGAGCUUCUGAAGGCUAAGAAGGGAAGGGGAGGGCUCCUCUUUCCACAGGUGCCUAGACUUGUAGCUUCCCCAAGGCAGAAGGAAGCCUGGGAGGAAUCUCCUGGAGUUGAACCAGUGAGGGAGGAGGAAUGAAAGGCAGCACUUCCUGGUUGGGAGUUGGGUAAGGGAUCUUCAGACAUUUGCAGCCACCCUUCCUGAGCUCAUAUUUGCUGUACUGGGACUCAAACCCUCUCUAGUCCUGGGCAGUGUAAACUGUGCAACUUUCUGCAAGAAGUUUCCCCCUCUAGGCAGGGGUUGAAAUGGACCUGGACACUUUUGAUUGACAGUUUUUUCCUGUUACCCCCUGGAAUGACUGAAAUGAUUGGUGAGCUGGAGCUGCUGGGGGCCUAGAGGGCCUGGCAAACUGGUCUUCCCAGCUCUCCUUUACCCCAGGAGAAGCAGAUCUUCCAUGUCAAGUCCAGUGCCACCCGCUUCCCGGGCACAGUAAGAUGGAGAGGGGGAGGGCCCUGGGAGAAGGGCACUAAAAACCACGCGCCAGCCUGCCUCCAGCACGGGGCAGGUCUCCCUCUGGUGGCCGAAGCAGGAAAGCGCAGCCCCAGCUCCCAGCGUCUCUCACACACAGGCAGACACCAGCGGCUUUUUUUCUUUCUUUUUUUUUUUUUUGGCCUUUUUUUUUUUUUUUUUUUUUACAAUUUUAUUUAUAACAAUAUCUGUGUUAUUUAGUUGUAAAGGAAUUCAGCAAAAAUUAUUAAAACGUUCACGUCCCCAAAACGGGGCUGCCCGCUUUCCCUUCCUGGGUGUGGCCCACCUCCUUGGUGCCCCUGGAGUUGGGG